UGUUAAAAAUUUCAUCCAUUUGUAUAGUUAAAAAUUGGUAUAGAUGAUGAAAUAACAAAAUAGUGAUGUGAUGUGCCAUGUGUACCUUAUGCUGACGUAAAUGGAUCAAUUUUUAAUAGAAGAAUCAAUUUGCUCUUUGAUU
rnacentral:pre_miRNA from 1 species